GCAACCUUGGCCGAGUGGUUAAGGCGCUGGUCUCGAAAACUUUUCGAUGUAACCAGUCCCGAAAGGGUCGCGCGUUCGAAUCGCGCAGGUUGCG
rnacentral:tRNA from 1 species